GUGCUCACUUCAGCAGCACAUACUAAAAUUGGAAUGAUACAGAGAAGAUCAGCAUGGCCCCUGUACAAGGAUAACACACAAAUUCGUGAAGCAUUCCAUGGUUUU
rnacentral:snRNA from 1 species